rnacentral:rRNA from 1 species
CAGCCGCCGCGGUAAUACGUAGGUGGCAAGCGUUGUCCGGAAUUAUUGAGCGUAAAGGGCUCGCAGGCGGUUUCUUAAGUCUGAUGUGAAAGCCCCCGGCUCAACCGGGGAGGGUCAUUGGAAACUGGGAAACUUGAGUGCAGAAGAGGAGAGUGGAAUUCCACGUGUAGCGGUGAAAUGCGUAGAGAUGUGGAGGAACACCAGUGGCGAAGGCGACUCUCUGGUCUGUAACUGACGCUGAGGGGCGAAAGCGUGGGGAGCGAACAGGAUUAGAUACCCCUGUAGUCCCUGUCUCUUAUAC